ACUGUAUCCAAUCCGGGUGGAUGCGGAACGAAGGACAUGUGUCCGUGUGACACACCGACUGAAUUAAUUAGAGUAAACUGAGCGAGAAUGAAGAAGACAUGAACGGGGUACGACAAAUAGUUCUGGAAAGAAAGUAGGCGUGAGUAAUUGCAUUAAGUGUUUGUGUCUGUCGCGCUCUUCUGGACAGAUUCCGCAACUGCAAGCUGUUUGUACAAAUGGGGUUCCAUUCAGCUGAUACCUGCGGUGACAACAGUAGUAUUGUUUCUUUGUUUAGCAAAUUUUACAAAGGUGUACAGCUGAACCCUGCUGGCUCUUGCAUCGAAGUUAAUGACUGUAAGAAACAGCAUUCUGAAGUCUGAACACCUGUGCCUGUGAACUCGGGGGAGGGGAUUAGCUGUGCUUUCUUGUUAAUAAUCUAUUAACCUGUGUCUCUGUUAGUAUCCGUUUUCUUACUCCUUGAGUUAUUUCCAGUAAUUCUGUCCCGCAGCAAGGCUGCGUCUCCCUCGCAAUGGGCAGGGCCCCAGAUAUGUCAGACUUUGACAGGGGGCUGAUAGUGGGUGCUCGGUUGGCAGGUGCUUCAGUGUCCAGGACAGCUAAAAUCACUCAUUAUUCACGGGGCACGGUCUCCAAAGUGAUGACGGCAUGGAAGACCACGGGAAAAACAUCAUCGGCAAAGCACAGUAGCGGCCGCCGGAGACUUCUGUGCGAGUGGGAGCGGCAAGCACUCAUCCGCAUUGUCGCCAGAGACAGCAUGACCACGGCAGCCAGAGUGUGCGCCGAGUUCAACCAGGGCCGCCAGCACCCCGUGUCCGUGAAGACUGUGCGCAGGGAGCUGCACUCGGCUGGGUACUACGGCAGGGCAGAUGUCCCCAGGCCUCUCCUCUAGAAGUCCUGAUACGAGCCCCCUGCCUGCUUAUGGGGGACAGGCAAAACUGCCCUUUAUUAGACACACCUGAUAUUCUGAGAAAUGUGAAUGAAUUGAAAGAGCAGAGCACUGUUACCCCUAAACUUGACACUGCAUUACAGAUUUCUGAAUUAGUGGGGUGGGGGGUCCCCACUGUCUGCCCCAGCAUACAAGCUGCCAUUUGGAGCGCAGGGUGAAUCAUGACUGAUCUUGCCUGGGAACCCACAGGGAGAUCUGCGUUGGGUUAGGGAGAAAAAACACAUGGCAUCAACCACUGCUGGUGAGGCUCCCCCUAGAGUUCAGGCAGUGAAUUCCCAGGCUGGGACCAGGUCUGUGGGGCUCAGCAGCUCUUUAACAUGCGUUGCUUAGCAGAUGUAAAGAGGAGACUGGCCACCUUUUAAUAAUGUCAUUGCACCCCCCUUAGCAUUUUACUGAAGGGUAUAUUUUAAUUUCAUGAAUGUUCUGUGGUGAGAUGGAGAUGUUGGGGCCCUUUUCAUAAAACAAUUUAGGCAAGUUUUGAUUAAUUUAAUCAAGUUUUCAAUAUAGACUGUUGUUAGCUAGCUGUCAAAGCACUGUGUAGCCUUGCAGAAUAUAUAUGAACGGUCCUUAAGGUGUUUCUGAAUUGGGCCCUAAUAAGCAGCACAUUACUUUUAGUGUCUUGUGCACGUUUCAGUAGUAAACAGCAGAAUACAUUUCUGUUAACGCCUACUUUGCUCAAUGCAGUUUAAGGAAUGCUUUUCUGGUGCUACAAGGAGCAUGUUUGUGUCUGUGCAAACAACUAGAGUGCACUGUGGGGUUAGGCUGCUUUAAGAAAUCUGUUUGAAUGUGCUGUAUGGCAAAUAAAACAUGGUGAAUCUCACCUUUACCCUGCUAUGAUGAGAUUGUGUUUAAAAACAAAAACAAAAUCAGGAAGGCAACAGCUUGAGCCAAUGGGCAAGCAGUGUCACAUUGUGUAACCAAUCAGGAAAAAGUGUAAAAAAAAAAAAAGUAUUAUUUGUAAAUAGUUCUUCUGAGUGUAACUGUAACAGCAGGAACUUCCAUUGGCUGCUUUGGAUUUUACAUUUUACAGUAUCCUGAAAGCUGACAUUGCUUCUGGUCUGCUGUUAGGUGCUCGCUGUGAGACGUCAUAAGGAGUGAGGCGGUCUCAGUCUCGGAUCUCCUGUUGUUUAUCAAAGAUUGCUCAUUUGCACGUACAGGAGCGGUAAAGCUUGCAAAGUACUGUUUUUGAUUGCACGUACAGGUCAGCUGCUGUCAGUCCUAAAUAAAUAGUAACAAAAGAGCUUUACGUGAAUUGUGCUGAUCCAGUCAUACGAAAAGUUUCCUGUACUGUAUAUGUUUGUAUAUAAUACAGGUAAAA